rnacentral:ncRNA from 1 species
AUUAGUAUAUUAUAUUAAGUAAUUAAUGUUUAAUUAAAUUUAUGAUGUAAUCAUGUACUAUGAAGAGUAUUUAAAUUUGGCUUUGGUUUUUAUAUAAGUUGUUAUUAAGUUUAUACAUGCUAGGUUUUUAUUAAUGUCGUAUUGUCUUUAUUAUUAUUAGUCUUGUUGUUUAAUAUAAUUAUGAUUAGUAAUAUUUAUUGUUAGUAUUUUAUUAAAAUAAUAAUUAUAGAUUACGCAGUAUUUAUUAUUAUACAAUGAAUGAAAGUUCGAUAUAGCUAUUAUAAGUAAUGGAUGGAUAAUUUUGUGCCAGCAUUCGCGGUUAUACAUAUAUCUUUAAUUUAUAUAGUUAUAAUAUAAAAAAAAGUGAAAAUUUAAUGUUGUAAUAUUAGAAAAAUUGAGAGUAAUGGUUGUAGGUAAAAUUUGAAGUUGUUACUAUUAAUUAUGGUUUUCUAUUAUUUAAGCUUUGAAAAUAAGGUUAUAUAAAAACUAGGAUUAGAUACCCUAUUAUUCUUUAUUUUAAAUUUUUUUUUAUUUAAGUAGUGUAAAUAUUCUUUUAGGAGAUAAUAUUUGAAACUUAAAAAGCUUGGCGGUGCUAUAUACCCAUUUAGGGGAGCUUGUUUAUUAAUUUGAUAUUCCUCAAUUAACUCUUACUUUUUUUUGAAUAAUUUAACAGUUUGUAUAUUGCUGUCGUCAGUUUAUUUCGUGAGAAUCAUUAAAAAACGUAGAAGUAAAGUUGCUAAUAUGUCAAGUCAAAAUGCAGCUGAUAAAAAAGGUGAAUAAAAAUGAGCUACAAUUUAUAAUUUUUAAUUGGAUAAAAUAAUGUAAUAUAUUUUUGAAACUGGACUUAAUAGUAAUGUAGGUAAUUAAUAUGUUUACAUGAAUUAGGUUUUAUAGCGCGUACAUAUCGCCCGUCGCUCUUGUUGGUAAAAUAAGAUAAGUCGUAACAUAGUAGGGGUAGUGGAAACUGUUCCUGGUUAAUAGU